CGGGUGAGUAAUGUAUGGGGAUCUGCCUGAUGGCGGGGGAUAACUACUGGAAACGGUAGCUAAUACCGCAUAAUGUCUACGGACCAAAGAGGGGACCUUCGGGCCUCUUGCCAUCGGAUGUGCCCAGAUGGGAUUAGCUAGUAGGUGGGGUAACGGCUCACCUAGGCGACGAUCCCUAGCUGGUCUGAGAGGAUGACCAGCCACACUGGAACUGAGACACGGUCCAG
rnacentral:rRNA from 1 species